UGACCUGCUAUCAAUGGCCUAGUGGCUAGAGAUCCCGUCGCGGAUACGGGAGGUCGCGAGUUCAAACCCCGGCCAAGUCAA